rnacentral:rRNA from 1 species
UGGCGGCAGGCUACACAUACAAUAUCGAGCGAGAAGCUAACUUCGGUUAGUGGACAGCGGCGCACGGGUGCGUAACGCGUGGGAAUUUACCUUUCGGCGGGGGACAACAGUUGGAAACGACUGCUAAUACCGCAUACGCCCUACGGGGGAAAGAUUUAUCACCGAAAGAUAGGCCCGCGUUAGAUUAGGUAGUUGGUAGGGUCAAAGCCUGCCAAGCCGACGAUCUAUAGCUGGUUUGAGAGAACGAUCAGCCACACUGGAACUGAGACACGGUCCAGACUCCUACGGGAGGCAGCAGUGGGGAAUCUUGCACAAUGGGCGAAAGCCUGAUGCAGCCAUGCCGCGUGAGUGAGAAGGCCUUCGGGUUGUAAAACUCUUUUAGAUGUGAAGAUGAUGACGGUAACAUCAGAAAAAGCACCGGCUAACUUCGUGCCAGCAGCCGCGGUAAUACGAAGGGUGCUAGCGUAGUACGGAAUUACUGGGCGUAAAGAGCGUGUAGGCGGAUUAGCAAGUAAGAGGUGAAAUCCCAG